rnacentral:rRNA from 1 species
UGAGACAGGUGCUGCAUGGCUGUCGUCAGCUCGUGUUGUGAAAUGUUGGGUUAAGUCCCGCAACGAGCGCAACCCUUAUCCUUUGUUGCCAGCACUUCGGGUGGGAACUCAAAGGAGACUGCCGGUGAUAAACCGGAGGAAGGUGGGGAUGACGUCAAGUCAUCAUGGCCCUUACGAGUAGGGCUACACACGUGCUACAAUGGCGCAUACAAAGAGAAGCGAGCUCGCGAGGGCAAGCGGACCUCAUAAAGUGCGUCGUAGUCCGGAUUGGAGUCUGCAACUCGACUCCAUGAAGUCGGAAUCGCUAGUAAUCGUAGAUCAGAAUGCUACGGUGAAUACGUUCCCGGGCCUUGUACACACCGCCCGUCACACCAUGGGAGUGGGUUGCAAAAGAAGUAGGUAGCUUAACCUUAGGGAGGGCGCUUACCACUUUGUGAUUCAUGACUGGGGUGAAGUCGUAACAAGGUAACCGUAGGGGAACCUGCGGUUGGAUCACCUCCUUACCU